rnacentral:misc_RNA from 1 species
GGGCCAUGCAUUGGUAUACACGCCGCAAUACAGAGACUCAGUCCAACCACAGCGAGGAUAUAGGCUAUCACCUGAAUAACCAAUAUGGCAAUGACGAAGGAGGUUAAUCCAAUCGCUGUACUAAACACAUAGUAGUGAAGUAAUAUUAAUAUCCCUGUAGAAGUCACAAUUAAACCAAGGCCAGUAGCAUUCUUUAAUGAAUAUUCACCUGGGACGAAAAGAAUGGCUCCAACAAUGACAAUGACAGUGAUCAC